rnacentral:rRNA from 1 species
CCUACGGGUGGCAGCAGUGGGGAAUAUUGCACAAUGGGGGAAACCCUGAUGCAGCGACGCCGCGUGAGUGAAGAAGUAUUUCGGUAUGUAAAGUUCUAUCAGCAGGGAAGAAAAUGACGGUACCUGAUUAAGUAGCCACGGCUAACUACGUGCCAGCAGCCGCGGUAAUACGUAGGGCGCAAGCGUUAUCCGGAUUUAAUGGGUGUAAAGGGAGCGUUGAUGGCAGCACAAGUCUGGAGUGAAAUGCCGGGGGUUAAACCCGGAACUGCUUUGGAAACUGUGCAGCUAGAGUGCAGGAGAGGUAAGUGGAAUUCCUAGUGAAGCGGUGAAAUGCGUAGAUAUAAGGAAGAACACCAGUGGCGAAGGCAGCUUACUGGACUGUAACUGACGUUGAGGCUCGAAAGCGUGGGGAGCAAACAGGAUUAGAUACCCUUGUAGUC